CUGUAAUUCAAGUAUUUGUUCAAGAAAGUCCAGGGUGUAUGUGCAGGAUGUGCAGGUUUGUUAUAUAGGUAAACGUGUGCCAUGGGGAUCUGCUGUACACACCAUUUCGUCACCCAGGUAUCAAGCCUAGUAUCCACCAGUCAUUUCUCCUGAUCCCCUCCCUCCUGCCACCCUCCGCCCUCCAGUAGGCCCCAGUAUGUGUUGUUCCCCUCCGUGUGUCCAUGUGUUCUCAUCAUUGAGCUCUCACUUGUAAGUGAGAACAUGUGGUAUUUGGUUUCUGUUCCUACAUUAGUUUGCUAAGGAUAAUGGCCUCCAGAUAAGGAUUGAUUGAUUGAUUGAUUGCUAUAGGCAUACUAGUUCCAUAGACAUUAAUAUAUGUGUGACUUGGAGAAGUAGAGUAAGUAGAAAAUUCAGAAUUUCAAAUAGCCACUUUAAAAUGUUUUUAAGUACUGUAUUUCUUUAAAUUUUUUAAAUAAAAUAGACAAAAGUUUGGUUGGCUACACCUUUUUAGGUGAAAUAUACUGAGAGAUGCGGACUCUUCCUCAUUGGAGAAAUGUAAGUUAUUUAGACAUUAAUAAAAGUUCUGCGUUCACCCAUAGAGUGAGAGUUCUCAAAUAUUUUGGUACUAUUUUGCACAUUUUUGCAAAGAAAGGAAGAUCAUCCUUAAUUGAAAGCUGCCAUGAUUAUUUUACAGAUGAAACAAACUGUAUUGCAGUAAAGAUACUUUUUCAACUAUAGAUUGGAAGCUGUGUCAUUCUACUGGAAGUAAAUGAAGUAGUUUGGUAAAGUUAAUAGCCCGAUAAAUGUUGAAAAUACUCACAUUUGUUAGCAAACAUCAUAUAUGAGUACUUUGUGUCAGACAUUCCUGGGUGAGGCAGAAAAUAUGUGGAGAAUUUAAAAAGUGAUUCCAAAUAAAUUUAGGUCCCUUUGCUCUUUCUAAAUAUUACAUUCCCCAAAUCCAUUUAUCCACAUUUAUCUCUAGUAACUACAAUUUGUUUAUGUAAAAAGACAUUUUAGAUUUGGCUGCUUCCCUGUGUGUCAUUUUUUACUUCAAUCACUUUGUAGAGUAUUUUUAAAUAACA
rnacentral:lncRNA from 1 species